AAUUAAAUUAUUUAUAAUAUUUAUAUCGUACUUUUUAGAUUACCUGCUACAAACUCACGGAACUCGCAACUCGCAACUGGCUCGUGAUGUUGAUUUGGCUAUACCAGACAGCAUUAAGUUGUCACAAAUCAUGAUGGUAGUAAAUGGCUGUGCUUAUCAAAUAUUUUGGUUUUAGAGAAAAUUACUCGGAUAGCCGUAAUUAUUAUCGUAAACACCCGCUGUCUACAAUACAGGCUGGGAGCUGGCAGUAGUUGGAGACCGAUCAAAUGGGUGCAUUUAGUGCAAAUAGCAAUGAAAUAUGUCAGGCACGAUAACGUAUGCAUAUAUUUUAUAUAACAAAAAUUUAUCAGUCAAUUCAAGGUAGCAAGCCUACGUCAUUUUGACGUCCCAAAAUGGUCAUAUCUGAUCAUAU